GCACCGUGCUCUGCACUUCAGGCGUACAAAAGUGAGCAACAUAGUGAGUAAUCCUGUCCCCAAAGGUUUACAGUCUCAUCUGGGAAAGAAAAUAUAUGCACACAAAAAGACCAAAAGUAAAUAAACAAUGUAACACAGUGAAUACCGAAUAUAAAGUGAAUGGCACAGGUUAUAAAUAUCAUAGGAACUCAGGUGGGGAGAAUGACAACUUCUGAUUGGACUAAUGAGAGAGGAGCACACCGAAGGAACACGGGAAGCAGAGCUCGGACACAGUGUGCCCUGAAUCCAGCCCCAUGAUGCCCCAUGAUGCACCCUCUGUCCCGGGCAGGGAACGAUAUUUACAACCAUGGUAACACCGAAUGAAAGGAUCGUUCAAUGGCAAGCCCAGAUUUUGCUGGCUGAUAGCCCUGAUAUGGAAUAGGCUGAAUCAAAUUCUUCACACUUUUAUUUAGAAGUCAACGAACUAACUCUCAUGAGAGUGUCUACAUCCUAACUAAUGCAAAAGGCCAUGGCUGUGGGUUUGCUUGUGUUUGUGUGUCUGUGUGUGUGCAUGAAUUCACAGGUACUCGAAUAAAAACAGCUAAUCUUUUAAUGGCCGAUUAUUAUUUGUCAAGUACUAGUCCAAGUAUUUUACCUAUGUUUAUUCAUUUAGUCUUUACAACAACUCUGUGAGGUAGGCUCUAUGAUCCUCAAUUUACAGAGGAGAAAAUCAAAGUCCAAGGAAUUUAAAUAAUUUUCCCAAGGAUCAUCAUGUAUUAGGUGUUCUACCCACAAAUCUGCCUUAGACACUGUUAGCACCAGUUUCUCUUUGAGCCACCUGGCCGAUUCACUUCCUCGGUGAGGUGUGAACAGGACAGUGAAAGUGCCUCCACCCAGGACCUUCCACAGUAGCCUAAUCCAUGCAAUUCAUUGACAUCCUUCAGGAUGGGGCAGACUGGGUUGUGGGCUCCAGGAGAGAGGACACAGCUUCUUCAAGAGAUUCCCCAAUAAUUCAGGAGCCUCUCUGUCAGCAUCCAUGGGCCUUUCUUGGCUAACAAGAAGCCCAAAGGGGAAUGUCUUUCCCUGCCGUCCUCUCUUAGGGAGUGAGUACAUCUGAGUGGAAUAUAUUUUCAUACUAGAUGUGACUGUUCAAUGCACAAAACAGAUGAAAGGCCAAUCUCUCUUCUCUCACUUGUGCUCAGAGUCCGCAUCUGUAAAAUGAGACAAUUGGACUCAGCCUUUUCUAAAGUUUUUCCAGAUUCAUAAUCCUAUAACUCUUCAGCUCCAUGAGAUUCCUUCCUCACUUCAGUAUAUUGACUCAGGGUAAGUGGCAUUUCUUUGGACUGAAAUCUCUGCAUUGAGAAACCAGGACUGAGUCUGUCGCACUCUCUUCCCUUGAAGAGACGCAACAGAUACACUGGAGAUGUCAAAUUAAAACCACUUUCUGACUCCAUUUGAGAAGGAUGAGAAUUGCUGUCCCAAGAUGAGCGAUGCCGCUUGAAAGAUGACUCGUGCUCCAGGUUGGUGUAUUUUUCUACCUUCUGAUGACCUCUUUAUUAUAUUUUUGCUUUCUCAAACUUCCCUACUUAGAGGAAGUUUUUUGCAGUAAAAAAAAAGAGAGAGACCUCACUCAUUCACAAAGUGAGUCUCACUUUCCUAUUUGAAUGGAGCACCAUCAAUACUGGCUUCUUUGUAGAAUAAUUGAGGGCUAGCCAUUGCCCCUUUUCCUUUAUCCACUUAUUUUCUUCAGCUACAUCAGCCUGUCUGCCUGCUUUAUAAGAGAGCUUCUUUUUUUUCUAGAAUGGCUUCUACUAUAAUACUAUUCUCAUAUCAGGUGGCUCCUGGUUUGAAUGUUGAAUUUGUUUACAUACAAAGUUAAGAAAAUGGGCAGCUCUCUACCUGAAAUACGACAUUUCCCCUUCCUCAUCCCAGGUGCCACAAAACCAUAUUGUUGGUGGGGGUUAAUCUUACAUUGUCAGAGUAGGCAGAAAGUCCCUCAGUGGCUCCAUGGUCUUGAGGAGAAAGGCCAGGACUGGCAGCCAGCAGACUCGGGUUUCUAGCUCUGGCUCAAGACUUGAUUAGCUAUGACCCAUCAUUCCAGGCUUCGGUCUCCUUAAUUUAAAAGAAGCAUCUUGGGGCUGGCCCGGUGGCACAGCAGUUAAGUGCGCAUGUUCCAUUUCGGCGGCACAGGGUUCACCGGUUCGGAUCCCAUGUUCGGGUGCGGACAUGGCACUGCUUGGCAAGCCAUGCUGUGGUAGGCAUCCCACAUAUAAAGUAGAGGAAGAUGGGCACGGAUGUUAGCUCAGGGCCAGUCUUCCUCAGCAAAAAGAGGAGGAUCGGCAGCAGAUGUUAGCUCAGGGCUAAU
ensembl:lncRNA